GUGUGUGUGUGAGCUGCUGAAGCAAUUGCAAUGAGGGGAAACCUCUCUAUUCAGAUGACGUCAAACGUUUGGAGAUAGUCGAGUGUCCUGUCCAAAGACAACGGCCCAGCAUUCACCGUGAAACCCGACUCUAGAGGGAUACGAAGUUCUCUGCAUUCCUGGUGAUGUGAGGGACAGUGUAUCACCCCAACUGGCUGCAUGCCUCAACUUCACCUGAGGUGCAGGCAAUAAGAGAAACAUGCUUUGAUCUGC